rnacentral:rRNA from 1 species
UACAGAGGUGGCAAGCGUUGUUCGGAAUUACUGGGCGUAAAGGGCGCGUAGGUGGCGGGACAAGCGUGCGGUGAAAGCCUGGGGCUCAACCCCGGGUCGGCCGUGCGAACUGUUUUGCUUGAGCACUGUAGAGGCAGGCGGAAUUCCGGGUGUAGCGGUGGAAUGCGUAGAGAUCCGGAAGAACACCGGUGGCGAAGGCGGCCUGCUGGGCAGUAGCUGACACUGAGGCGCGACAGCGUGGGGAGCAAACAGG